rnacentral:rRNA from 1 species
UACAGAGGGUGCAAGCGUUAUUCGGAAUUAUUGGGCGUAAAGCGCACGUAGGUGGUUUAGUAAGUCUGAUGUGAAAGCCCCGGACUCAAUUCGGGAAGUGCAUUGGAUACUGCUAGACUGGAGUAUGGGAGAGGAGAGUGGAAUUCCAGGUGUAGAGGUGAAAUUCGUAGAUAUCUGGAGGAACAACAGAGGCGAAGGCGGCUCUCUGGACCAUUACUGACACUGAGGUGCGAAAGCGUGGGGAGCAAACAGG